GAGAAAAAAAUAUUUUAUUCACAUUUCACUUUUUUUUUUUUUUCCUUUUCAAAUUUCUUCUCAAAUCUCCCAAACGAAGUAAAAUGUAAGUAUUUUUCAUUCACAUUUUACCUAUUUUUUCAUUUUUUUUUUUAAAUUCCUUCCCAAAUCCCCAACCAAACACAACGUUAUGAUUUUUUUUUGGAGGGGGGGAGGGGGUUUGGAUUUGUAGAGAUAAUUGUUAAAGAAACAAAAAAACAAAAAAACCGAAAAACAAAAAAUGAUAAUCUAAGAACAGCAAUGAUAGAGACCACUAAAAGUCGUAUUCUAAACCAUCACUAAUGAAUUGGCAUCCAUUUUUAAAAAAAAGAGGCACAAAAAUACUGUAGGAUAAAGAACCGUGUGCCCUCUAUCCGAAGUAGUAGAUUCAUUUAUCCUUUUUUAUUUUUUGGCCCCAUAUUUUAGAUUCCAUUAUAAUAAAAUUGGAGCCACGAUUGAUUCAAUAAUUUGUUACAGUUGGAAACAUUAAGAGGGGAUGACGGCAAACUUAUUAAGCAGCCUGACCCACCAGCAGAUUCAAAGGAGCUACCUUCCCCCACGGUUGGCUAAUCAAUAACUGAGAUUGCCAAUGAGGCAGAUGGUGGCAGUGAUGACGACAACGACAGUGGAGGAGAAGAGAUAGUCAGAGAGCUUAGGGAGAUUAAAAGACAGAAUUUUAUCACUCAUUGCCUCCUUUCAGCCAUGAUUGUCCUUACCGUAGCGUGGCAGCUAUCCAAGGAAUGCUCAAAGGGCCUGUUGUAAGUGAUCAAAAUGGAGCGAAAAAGUCCUCUUCAAAGCAACAGCAGGUUGAUGGCCCUUCUCUCCCUCCCCUCAAAAUUGCAGAGCUGCCCCAUUUGGGCAGUAAUAAGGACUGAGGAUAUUCUAGGGUUUUUAUGUUUGAAACAAAUGCCAAGUGUGUAGUAGGUUCAUGGCAAAGUCUAGUAUGCACCCAAUCAAUUUUACUGUCAACAGCACCCUGGAGUAACAUAAACUAUUAACAAGGACAAGCAUAAAGAAGCACGUGAUGCGAAAACAACUCUGAAUUUAUUAAAUUGGACAAAAUCACACUCCAAAAUACAAUACAUGAUAUAGAGGGGUGCUCACACUUUGUACAUUUCCCCAUGCAUUUCUUUAAAUACAAGUAAUGAACAUAAUGUUCAAGCAUCAAUCCAAUCAUGAACAAAAAAUCAAGGGGAAAAAAAAAACUCUUCCAUCAAUUCAUCCUAUUAAACAAAGCAAUCUCUGAAGUAUGGAGGAUAGAAUAAUAAAAGACACGACAAAUUACAGAACAUAACCAA